rnacentral:rRNA from 1 species
CAGUAGCCGCGGUAAUACAGAGGGUGCGAGCGUUAAUCGGAAUUACUGGGCGUAAAGCGCGCGUAGGCGGUUACUCAAGUCAGAGGUGAAAGCCCGGGGCUCAACCCCGGAACUGCCUUUGAAACUAGGUGACUAGAAUCUUGGAGAGGUCAGUGGAAUUCCGAGUGUAGAGGUGAAAUUCGUAGAUAUUCGGAAGAACACCAGUGGCGAAGGCGACUGACUGGACAAGUAUUGACGCUGAGGUGCGAAAGCGUGGGGAGCAAACAGGAUUAGAUACCCCAGUAGUCCCUGUCUCUUAUAC